CCUACGGGUGGCAGCAGUGAGGAAUAUUGGACAAUGGAGGCAACCCUGAUCCAGCGAUGCCGCGUGCAUGAAGACGGCUUUAGGAAUUUAAAGCUGUUUUUGCACGAGGGAAAAUGCCGAUACGUGAAUCUGACUCACCGUAUAGCUCCAAGCCAGCAGGCGCGGUAAUACGUAGGGUGCAGGCGUUAUCCGGAUUUACUGGGUGUAAAGGGUGCGUAGUCGGUGGAGUAAGUUAGUAGUGAAAUGUCGGGGCUCAACUUCGGAAUUGCAUCUGAUACUGUUGAGCUGGAGAUUAGUAGAGGUAAGCGGAAUGUAUGGUGUAGCGGUGAAAUGCGUAGAGAUUAGAAGGAACACCAAUUGCGAAGGCAGCUUACCAGGCUACAACUGACGUUGAGGCACGAAAGCGUGGGGAGCAAACAGGAUUAGAUACCCUAGUAGUC
rnacentral:rRNA from 1 species